AGCCACAGCCAUAUCACCCUGCAGCCCAAGACUGGUUGCCCACUGAAGCUAAGCAGGGUUGAGCCUGGUCAGUACCUGGAUGGGAGACCUCCUGGGAAAACUAGGUUGUUGUUGGAA
rnacentral:rRNA from 1 species